GACGAACGCUGGCGGCGUGCCUAAUACAUGCAAGUAGAACGCUGAAGGAGGAGCUUGCUUCUCCGGAUGAGUUGCGAACGGGUGAGUAACGCGUAGGUAACCUGCCUGGUAGCGGGGGAUAACUAUUGGAAACGAUAGCUAAUACCGCAUAACAGUAGAUAUCGCAUGAUAUCUGCUUGAAAGGUGCAAUUGCAUCACUACCAGAUGGACCUGCGUUGUAUUAGCUAGUUGGUGAGGUAACGGCCCACCAAGGCGACGAUACAUAGCCGACCUGGGAGGGUGAUCGGCCACACUGGGACUGAGACACGGCCCAGACUCCUACGGGAGGCAGCAGUAGGGAAUCUUCGGCAAUGGACGGAAGUCUGACCGAGCAAGGCCGCGUGAGUGAAGAAGGUUGUCGGAUCGUAAAGCUCUGUUGUAAGAGAAGAACGAGUGUGAGAGUGGAAAGUUCACACUGUGACGGUAUCUCACCAGAAAGGGACGGCUAACUACGUG
rnacentral:rRNA from 1 species